rnacentral:rRNA from 1 species
UACGUAGGGUGCGAGCGUUAAUCGGAAUUACUGGGCGUAAAGCGUGCGCAGGCGGUUUUGUAAGUCAGAUGUGAAAUCCCCGGGCUUAACCUGGGAAUGGCAUUUGGGACUGCAAGGCUGGAGUACGGCAGAGGAGACUGGAAUUCCUGGUGUAGCAGUGAAAUGCGUAGAGAUCAGGAGGAAUACCGAUGGCGAAGGCAGGUCUCUGGGCUGAUACUGACGCUCAUGCACGAAAGCGUGGGGAGCAAACAGG